CCUUCUCUCUCCAAUGGAUGCACUGCAUUCCACCUCCAUUAGUAUUUUCUUAGUUCUUGCUUGAUUAUCAUUAAUUUUCACUAAUGACUUCUCUAUUUUCAAAUUUCAACCUCAAUAUCUUCUAACAAUUUCACCAAUUUCUUUUGAGAAAAUUCUCAUACAUUUUCUAUCAAUAUCCAUUGAUGUGAGAUUGCAACAAAUAUGGACCUACAUUGAGUUUUUUACCGAUUUAUUGCUCUCUUUGGUAUUUGAGGACAAAUAAAUCAACUGAAAAUGUAGAUGAAUUCGACCCUUUAAGUAAAAAAAACAAAAACAAUCCUUUCCAAUAUUCCAUCUUCAAAAACCCUUAUUUUUUCAUGACAUACAACAAUCAUAAUUUUUGAAAUCAUAAAAAUGUGUUAAUGAAAUUUUCUUUUGUUUGACAGAAAUUUCAAGUUUGAUCGGAACAAAGUUUAAUGAUUUUUCUCUCUUUAGUAGAUCUGAAAACAAAAAAAAAAGAAAUGAAGAUUAAGAUGCAGGUGAGGUAGGGUACAAUGGGGGUGUUCAAAGAAGGAGAAAGGGGGCGAGAUAAGGGGUUC
rnacentral:lncRNA from 1 species